rnacentral:rRNA from 1 species
GACGAACCGUGCAAACGUUGUUCGGAAUCACUGGGCUUAAAGGGCGCGUAGGCGGGCGGCCAAGUCCGGGGUGAAAUACUUCGGCUUAACCGGAGAAUUGCCUUGGAUACUGGCUGUCUUGAGGGAGGUAGGGGCACGCGGAACUUCCGGUGGAGCGGUGAAAUGCGUUGAUAUCGGAAGGAACGCCGGUGGCGAAAGCGGCGUGCUGGCCCUCUUCUGACGCUGAGGCGCGAAAGCCAGGGGAGCGAACGGG